rnacentral:rRNA from 1 species
UCUAGAUUAGAGUUUGAUCAUGGCUCAGAUUGAACGCUGGCGGCAGGCCUAACACAUGCAAGUCUAACGGUAGCACAGAGAGCUUGCUCUCGGGUGACGAGUGGCGGACGGGUGAGUAAUGUCUGGGAAACUGCCCGAUGGAGGGGGAUAACUACUGGAAACGGUAGCUAAUACCGCAUAACGUCUUCGGACCAAAGUGGGGGACCUUCGGGCCUCACACCACCGGAUGUGCCCAGAUGGGAUUAGCUAGUAGGUGGGGUAAUGGCUCACCUAGGCGACGAUCCCUAGCUGGUCUGAGAGGAUGACCAGCCACACUGGAACUGAGACACGGUCCAGACUCCUACGGGAGGCAGCAGUGGGGAAUAUUGCACAAUGGGCGCAAGCCUGAUGCAGCCAUGCCGCGUGUAUGAAGAAGGCCUUCGGGUUGUAAAGUACUUUCAGCGGGGAGGAAGGCGAUGGAGUUAAUAGCUUCAUCGAUUGACGUUACCCGCAGAAGAAGCACCGGCUAACUCCGUGCCAGCAGCCGCGGUAAUACGGAGGGUGCAAGCGUUAAUCGGAAUUACUGGGCGUAAAGCGCACGCAGGCGGUCUGUCAAGUCGGAUGUGAAAUCCCCGGGCUUAACCUGGGAACUGCAUUCGAAACUGGCAGGCUAGAGUCUUGUAGAGGGGGGUAGAAUUUCCAGGUGUAGCGGUGAAAUGCGUAGAGAUCUGGAGGAAUACCGGUGGCGAAGGCGGCCCCCUGGACAAAGACUGACGCUCAGGUGCGAAAGCGUGGGGAGCAAACAGGAUUAGAUACCCUGGUAGUCCACGCCGUAAACGAUGUCGACUUGGGAGGUUGUGCCCUUGAGGCGUGGCUUCCGGAGCUAACGCGUUAAGUCGACCGCCUGGGGGAGUACGGCCGCAAGGUUAAAACUCAAAUGAAUUGACGGGGGCCCGCACAAGCGGUGGAGCAUGUGGUUUAAUUCGAUGCAACGCGAAGAACCUUACCUACUCUUGACAUCCAGAGAACUUUCCAGAGAUGGAUUGGUGCCUUCGGGAACUCUGAGACAGGUGCUGCAUGGCUGUCGUCAGCUCGUGUUGUGAAAUGUUGGGUUAAGUACCGCAACGAGCGCAACCCUUAUCCUUUGUUGCCAGCGGUUAGGCCGGGAACUCAAAGGAGACUGCCAGUGAUAAACUGGAGGAAGGUGGGGAUGACGUCAAGUCAUCAUGGCCCUUACGAGUAGGGCUACACACGUGCUACAAUGGCGCAUACAAAGAGAAGCGACCUCGCGAGAGCAAGCGGACCUCAUAAAGUGCGUCGUAGUCCGGAUUGGAGUCUGCAACUCGACUCCAUGAAGUCGGAAUCGCUAGUAAUCGUAGAUCAGAAUGCUACGGUGAAUACGUUCCCGGGCCUUGUACACACCGCCCGUCACACCAUGGGAGUGGGUUGCAAAAGAAGUAGGUAGCUUAACCUUCGGGAGGGCGCUUACCACUUUGUGAUUCAUGACUGGGGUGAAGUCGUAACAAGGUAACCGUA